UACAGAGGGUGCGAGCGUUAAUCGGAAUUACCGGGCGUAAAGCGCGCGUAGGCGGCUUUGCAAGUCGGGUGUGAAACCCCCAGGCUUAACCUGGGAACUGCAUUCGAGACUGCAUUGCUAGAGUAUGGGAGAGGGAAGUGGAAUUUCCGGUGUAGCGGUGAAAUGCGUAGAUAUCGGAAGGAACAUCAGUGGCGAAAGCGACUGCCUGGACCAAUACUGACGCUCAUGUGCGAAAGCGUGGGGAGCAAACAGG
rnacentral:rRNA from 1 species